GACGAACGCUGGCGGCGUGCUUAACACAUGCAAGUCGAGCGGAAAGGCCCUUUCGGGGGUACUCGAGCGGCGAACGGGUGAGUAACACGUGAGUAAUCUGCCCUUGGCUUUGGGAUAACCACCGGAAACGGUGGCUAAUACCGGAUAUGACGGGCUCCGGCAUCGGGGUUCGUGGAAAGUUUUUUCGGCCAGGGAUGUGCUCGCGGCCUAUCAGCUUGUUGGUGGGGUAAUGGCCUACCAAGGCUUCGACGGGUAGCCGGCCUGAGAGGGUGACCGGCCACACUGGGACUGAGACACGGCCCAGACUCCUACGGGAGGCAGCAGUGGGGAAUAUUGGACAAUGGGCGGAAGCCUGAUCCAGCAACGCCGCGUGAGGGAGUGACGGCCUC
rnacentral:rRNA from 1 species